GACAGAGGGUGCAAACGUUGCUCGGAAUCACUGGGCGUAAAGGGCGUGUAGGCGGGAAGGAAAGUCAGAUGUGAAAUCCCCAGGCUCAACCUGGGAACUGCAUUUGAAACUCCCUUUCUUGAGUACCGGAGAGGAAAGUGGAAUUCCUGGUGUAGAGGUGAAAUGCGUAGAUAUUGGGAGGAACACCAGUGGCGAAGGCGGCUCACUGGACCGGUUCUGACGCUGAGGCGCGAAAGCGUGGGGAGCAAACGGGG
rnacentral:rRNA from 1 species